rnacentral:lncRNA from 1 species
CCUGACUCAUUACCCAUGUCCUCAUUAGAUUGAACCAUUGAUAUUUGGACCGGACCGGACGGUCCAACCGUCCCCCGGCAUGGUGGGCGGCCCCGUCUCACCCCCAAACCCGGACGCUCUUUCAGGCCGCUUCUGACCGCUGAAAAUCCGGUCGAACCGGGUUAAGCCUAGGUGGCUCAACCGGCCGGCCCAACCAGUGGAAAAAAUGUUCAGAGAAAUAAAGUAGGUGGCUUAAGCUUGGAGAAACCAAACAGGGGGAAAGAAAAGAAAGGGUUUAGAAAACAGUCACAGCAGCACCGUUCAUUCUAGAAGAAGACAGCUGCAGCAGCACCACUCAUCCCAACCGCCGUUCCUCACCUACUCCAGGUUAGAAUCAUCAAACUAGAUCCAAUGAAAGAAGAGAAUGAACAUAGAUGAGUAUUGAAGAAGGAUACAUAGGGUGUGAAGAAAAUGAGGGAAAGUUUGACACUUUGAUGAAGAGGAAUAUGGUAUGUAAAGGGUGAGGGGG